rnacentral:rRNA from 1 species
ACGGCUACCUUGUUACGACUUCACCCUAAUCAUCUGUCCUACCUUAGACGGCUGACUCCUAUAAAGGUUAUCCCACCGGCUUUGGGUGUUACAGACUCUCAUGGUGUGACGGGCGGUGUGUACAAGGCCCGGGAACGUAUUCACCGCGGCGUGCUGAUCCGCGAUUACUAGCGAUUCCAGCUUCGUGUAGGCGAGUUGCAGCCUACAGUCCGAACUGAGAACGGCUUUAAGAGAUCCGCUUGCCUUCGCAGGUUCGCUUCUCGUUGUACCGUCCAUUGUAGCACGUGUGUAGCCCAGGUCAUAAGGGGCAUGAUGACUUGACGUCAUCCCCACCUUCCUCCGGUUUGUCACCGGCAGUCUCAUUAGAGUGCCCAACUUAAUGAUGGCAACUAAUGACAAGGGUUGCGCUCGUUGCGGGACUUAACCCAACAUCUCACGACACGAGCUGACGACAGCCAUGCACCACCUGUCUCAGCGUCCCCG